rnacentral:tRNA from 3 species
GGUUCCGUGGUCUAGUUGGUUAUGACAUUUCGUUAACAGUUAGUUGACGCCACCGAAAAGGUCCCCGGUUCGAGCCCGGGCGGAAUCA